GCGCACGCUGGCGGCAUGCCUAACCCAUGCCGGUCGAACGAGACCUUCGGGUCUAGUGGCGCACGGGUGCGUCACGCGUGGGAACCUGCCCUUAGGUUCGGAAUAACUCCCCGAAAGGGGUGCUAAUACCGGAUAAUGUCUUCGGACCAAAGAUUUAUCGCCUUUGGAUGGGCCCGCGUUGGAUUAGCUAGUUGGUAGGGUAAAAGCCUACCAAGGCGACGAUCCAUAGCUGGUCUGAGAGGAUGAUCAGCCACACUGGGACUGAGACACGGCCCAGACUCCUACGGGAGGCAGCAGUGGGGAAUAUUGGACAAUGGGCGAAAGCCUGAUCCAGCAAUGCCGCGUGAGUGAUGAAGGCCUUAGGGUUGUAAAGCUCUUUUACCCGGGAUGAUAAUGACAGUACCGGGAGAAUAAGCUCCGGCUAACUCCGUG
rnacentral:rRNA from 1 species